rnacentral:rRNA from 1 species
GUCCACGCUGUAAACUAUGUGUGCUUGACGUCAGAGGGCAUAGCCCCCUGGUGUCGGAGCUAACGCGGUAAGCACACCGCCUGGGGAGUACGGUCGCAAGAUUAAAACUCAAAGGAAUUGACGGGGGCCCGCACAAGCGGUGGAGCAUGUGGUUCAAUUCGAUGCAACGCGCAGAACCUUACCAGCCCUUGACAUGGGAAGUUUGGAACGGAGAGAUCUGUUCCUUCAGUUCGGCUGGCUUCCACACAGGUGCUGCAUGGCUGUCGU